rnacentral:rRNA from 1 species
UACGUAGGUGGCAAGCGUUGUUCGGAAUUAUUGGGCGUAAAGAGCUUGUAGGCGGUCUGUCGCGUCUGGUGUGAAAAUCCGGGGCUCAACCCCGGACUUGCAGUGGGUACGGGCAGACUAGAGUGUGGUAGGGGAGACUGGAAUUCCUGGUGUAGCGGUGAAAUGCGCAGAUAUCAGGAGGAACACCGAUGGCGAAGGCAGGUCUCUGGGCCACUACUGACGCUGAGAAGCGAAAGCAUGGGGAGCGAACAGG